rfam:Pseudomonas syringae pv. tomato str. DC3000, complete genome.
AGAAGGGCGACCGACUGUGGGGAGGAAGCGUGGAGCGUAAACCGCGAGCCGAGGUACACAAAUCGCAUUCGAGGCGGAUCCGGACAGGGCGAGCAGCCAAGUGACUGCAAAGCUCUUGUGGCCUAAGUGCCGGGUACGUAAAUGCGGCGGUUGUGCGGUGAAGGAUGGCGUUC